rnacentral:rRNA from 1 species
AUUGAACGCUGGCGGCAUGCCUUACACAUGCAAGUCGAACGGCAGCGCGGGUGCUUGCACCUGGCGGCGAGUGGCGAACGGGUGAGUAAUACAUCGGAACGUGCCCUAGAGUGGGGGAUAACUAGUCGAAAGAUUAGCUAAUACCGCAUACGAUCUACGGAUGAAAGUGGGGGACCGCAAGGCCUCAUGCUCCUGGAGCGGCCGAUGUCUGAUUAGCGAGUUGGUGGGGUAAAGGCCUACCAAGGCGACGAUCAGUAGCUGGUCUGAGAGGACGACCAGCCACACUGGGACUGAGGCACGGCCCAGACUCCUACGGGAGGCAGCAGUGGGGAAUUUUGGACAAUGGGGGCAACCCUGAUCCAGCAAUUCCGCGUGAGUGAAGAAGGCCUUCGGGUUGUAAAGCACUUUUGUCAGGAACGAAACGGUGGGGGCUAAUACCUCCUGCUAAUGACGGUACCUGAAGAAUAAGCACCGGCUAACUACGUGCCAGCCGCCGCCGUAA